rnacentral:misc_RNA from 1 species
UCAGAUACCUAGAGCACCGUGAUCGGCUUGUUCGUCUUAGCAUAACUUCGUUGCUACCUCGCAUUGCUCAUUUCUUGCGGGAUCGAUUUGUUACAAACUAUCUAACGAUAUGCAUGAAUCAUAUUCUUGCGGUGCUUAGGCUGCCAGCUGAGCGCGGCAGUGGAUUCAUUGCCCUGGGGGAAAUGGCUGGUGCUUUGGAUGGGGUNGAUGGGGAACUUGUCAACUAUUUGCCAACAAUCAUGUCUCACAUACGUGAUGCUAUUGCUC